AUAUAUCCAAAAUGCUGAAAUGGGAAAAAGAAGCAGAGAAAAUCGGUGGAAAAUGAAACAGGAAGAAAGGAGGGAAAAAAAUAAAAAAUAAAAAAAUUGGUGGUGUCGGCCAACGACGCAUAGGAGGGAAGAUACACUUCUUCAAGUAUUGGGUUGUCUUUCAUAUCCUCAUUUCUUCUACAAUCUCAAUUUGGCAAAUAAUCAAAGAGGAAAAGAGUUGGAGAAAUAGAGGUGAAGGUAGUGACGUGCAAGCUUGGAAAUGCUCGUCAAUUUAAUCAAAUUUCUAUCCAUAAAUCGGAUUGUAUUCUAGGCAUAUUGCACAAGUGCUAUUGCUAUUCCUACUCCCUGAAGUGCUUUAAUUUUUCCCAACAACUACCAAUUCUAUACACAAUUCUAUAUUGGAGUCAUCAAGGCUUGUAAUCACGCUACCUUCUCUCGAUGUUAUUAUUGUGAGCAUGGUGGAUUGUGGCAAAGAAGCGGAGGCGUUAGAGUUGUGAUCUGCUGUUUCAAUGGCCUCAUUUCUUCCAACUGUCAGCUUGAUUAGACGCAUGCAACUUGAUACAAAGAGCAACGCCAGUAGAAGAAAAGAUGGAAUAAAGAAGGGUGAUUGAAAAUAUUCACCGUGAUCCUACUAAACAAAUAAACUCGUUAUUAAAGGUUAGAGAAGAUAUGAACAAAAUGAGUUAGAUCCCUAUGUCGACAACAAUAGAUUUCAUAAACUAUACUGAAUCUCUACCUGUUUCUUGAGGACCUGGUUGUUGACCACAAUCUUAGCAAUAAGAAACAUUCCAUGUCAAUAAAAUAUCACAAUAAAUUUCAUAUAACUGGUACUGACCACGGUACAUGACGGGGUAGACUGAACUACCAAUACUUUUGCACCCAAGAAAUUCAAAUGCUUGUGGUCACAUGUAGCAACAGUUGCAUUUGUAGAAUUGCUUGGGCAGCCAAUUGGUAAAGCAGAGUAUUGCUCUGGGUCUGAAUUUACAAGACAGGUAUAAAAUGUGUAGUUCUCGAAAUAUUCGGUCAUGAAAGGUGAAGAUGAAAUGUUCAUAGAGUUAUUCAUAAACCUUCUUGGGAGGCAAUUUCGGGGAUCAUAGAGUGCUAUUCUUCGGAUGUUGUAGUCGAUAUACCUCACAUAAAACUACCAGAAAAAUGAAGACUUAGAAUAGGUAUUCCUCGAUUACUGCAUGUCAGGUUAAUAUAGGUACAGUUAUUUCCUUGUUCUUGGCCUUUUAAUAUGAAUGGGUAAUAUAUUAGAACCUCUCCACCAAAAGAAGAUGGACAAGCAUACUCAAAAUGGACAAUUGGAAACAUUGACAAAAGAAAGAGAAGAAAUUUGAGAAUGCCCAUGUUUUCCUGCCUUCCAGCUAAUUGCGGAUGUAGAGCGGGAUGGACAAUGCACAGGCAGGCUUCAACUAUAAAUAUGCCCGUGGCAUUUUAUGGGAGGAUGCUAUGGACUUUACAUAGAUAUUUCACAUAGGACGGAUAGAUCUGAAAUAAUGAAUCCCUUGGUUUGUACUAAACAAACAAAUUAGAUGUCUCUGCUAUCCAUGGUCGAAAAUUGUAAUGGAGAAAAUAAUAUAUAUUUAUUUUCCUUGCAAAUUGCAGUGAAAUAAUAGAAGGUUUUGGCAGCGUUAACUAUUGUGUUUUGUUUGGAACCACCAGCAUUGGAUUGUGCAUUUUUUCGAACAUAAUCCCACAAAUAUUGUAUACAGUAGACAAAGAGCAUCUAUACUUGUAACACCCCAAAUCUAGAUACCUAGAUUUAGAAGUGAAAGUUAUACAAUUCGCCCCACAUAACACCUAGAGGGGGGUGCAUAGGUAGUUGCAUGGAAUUUACCAAAUUUCAGUUAAUAAUUGCAUCACAGUAUGAUUAUUAAUUAGUCCAGUCCAAUUCACAUGCAAUGUACCCUAUGUUGAAUUAAUGCAGUAUAAUAAAUUGCUGGAAAGUAAAGAACACAUAAAAUUUGAUGACGGAGAAACCCUAAACUGGGUAAAACUCUAUGCACAAGCCAGUAUGAAUCCACUAUAAAUGAACACAACUUACACCAGACUAAACCAAUACACAUUCUUUCUAUCGUCGUGUACCGCAAUAUUCAAAACCCUCCUGGGUUGCAUGCUCCUGCACCAACUCCCAGAUUUUGAUCUCAUCUAUCUCCAGUGGAUUACCUGAGAAUUCUUCGUUCUCCAACGAUCAGAACUUUGGUUACCUUCCUUGAUCUUCAACUCUUGACAGAUCAUCUGAAAGCUUUUGAUUUUGGAGUUUGAAUUUCAGGUUUUGAUGUUUUUCAAUCACCAAAGUUGAUGAAGAAUGGAUUGUAUAUUUUUUAAGGAUGCAAGUGGUUUGUCUAAUGGACAAUCUAAGCUUUUUUGUGAAACGGCACAGAUACUUAUAUGUGGAAUGUUUUGGGUAGUCUGGAAUUGCUAAAACUCUCAAAAAAAUGAGAAUUAGUGUUUUGCAGGAAAAAUCGACCAUCUAGUGAAAAGCUAGUGGUGAUCUUUCGCUCGACCUAAGGCUUGGCGAGAAGCCAGGGACGUUCUCUAUACAUGUGCCACUCGAGCAGUGUGUUAGCAUGAAUCAAAUGAAAAUGUGGCGAUCCUUCCUUCCUUGUUUUGAUAUUAAACCCUAACCUACCAACAUUUUUUACAAUACUGCAACGACUCCUCGACUUUAACACUGUUUCAAUUUGAACCUUUUUGUUCACAAAACUACCAAUCACAAGUAAACCUAACAAGAAGUAUUAUAAUUUAAUUUCCUCUUAAAACCAUAAAUGCGAAAACUGAUUAUAAAUAUUUCUUUAACAUAAAAAUAUUAACGACUUUCAUUUAAGGAAAGAAUUUUAGAAAACAUUUAUGUUUAAUAAAAAUAUAAGAUGGUCGAAUUAAAUAUUAAACUUAUUUCAACUUGAGUCAACAUUAAAUGUAUCAGUACCGAGUCCGUCUCACCACAAGUAGUCUUCUCGAAUCAUCUUGCCUUCAUCAUCUGAAAUUUGAGAGGAUAACGUGGAAUAAGCUAACGCUCAAUAAGCAAACUUCAUGCAUAUGAUGUAUGAUUGUGAUAUGCACAUGAAUUACUUUAAGAUAAAUGUAUUUCUCAAUAUGUAUCAUAUUUCUUUCAUUUCUUUAAAAACUUAACUUUGACAUCGUGAGCUGACUUGGUGUAUCGCCUAGCCAACCAGAAUGCGGUGCGCAAUUAUUAUUUGGAAUCUGACCAAAUCCUACCGGUGGUACCACAAAGCAGUUAACAUUAACAUUAUCUUUGAAUAUUAAACAUUGAUCAUUGGUCGAGUGCGUCGGUCCCCCAUUAUCAUUGAAUAUUAAACAUUGAUCAUUGGUCGAGUGCGUCAGUCCCCCACGCUCCAUUUCCCACUCACAUCUUUCAUAACAUAGACAUAUACCUUGUAACAAAAUAUUUGGGAUACACAUCUUUUUAAGACAUUCAUUGACUCAUUGACAUUUGAAAACUUUUUUUUUUUUUAAACUUCCUGUAUGCUCAUGGAUGCAUAUGUCAUGAGAAAUUAACUUUUCUUGAAUGGCAAAGUGUGGAUAUCCCUAGCCACCUAUGAAGCCAAUGUACCAAAAUCCGAUUUCAUUACCUUUUAUUUAAUAACUUUGACAAAUUUACAAUUGAAAUGUAACAUGAAUCAUUACUCUAUUAAAUUAACUGAUUUAUUAUUGUUGUUGUAAAAAUAGAAAUAAAACCUACGUGUGAAUAGGAUUGACAUUCCUAUCAAUUUUAAAGUUAAAAUCACUCGUCAU